CCUACGGGUGGCAGCAGUGGGGAAUAUUGGACAAUGGGCGCAAGCCUGAUCCAGCUAUUCCGCGUGUGGGAAGACGGCCUUCGGGUUGUAAACCACUUUUGUAGAGAACGAAAAGUCGAUUGAUAAUACCGAUACACGAUGACGGUACUCUAAGAAUAAGCACCGGCUAACUACGUGCCAGCAGCCGCGGUAAUACGUAGGUUGCAAGCGUUAAUCGGAAUUAUUGGGCGUAAAGGGUUUGCAGGCAGUUUUGGAAGAUUGAUGUGAAAGCCCCGGGCUUAACCUGGGACAGCCAUAGAUGACUAGAAGACUAGAGUGCGUUAGAGGGGAGUGGAAUUCCAAGUGUAGCAGUGAAAUGCGUAGAUAUUUGGAAGAACACCGAAGGCGAAGGCAGCCCACUGGGUCGAAACUGACGCUCAUACACGAAAGCGUGGGGAGCAAACAGGAUUAGAUACCCCAGUAGUC
rnacentral:rRNA from 1 species